UUUGAAUGGAGAGGGACAUAGGAGACUUAAGAAGAGGUCGGUACCCAGAUCUGCAGUGCCAUACUACUUCACCACAAACUCUUAGGAGACUGUUAUCUUCCUUCAUCCCUAAAAGUAAAGAACUGCUUAAUGAGUCCAUCCAAAAUCCUGCUGCUGAAGAAGAGAUUGGUUGGUGUUUACGGGACUGAAACAUGAAGGAACCCAUCAGAUGUGCAAGAAUGGCAUUUCUCUUUCACAGAGAGACCACAGCUGAAACCAAACACCGAAAGGACAUAGGCUAACCUCUGACAACCCAAAUGCCUGCAUCUACAGUCUCACAACACAGAGAAAAUAACUCCCAAUGAUGUUAAACUGACAAUACUCCGACAAUUCCACUUUUGCUGUGGGAAUAUGAUGGGCUAUUUUCUGUUUACCCUGGACACUUGCUGGAAUUUACCUUGGAAGUCACGUGAGAGCUUCAGGGAGCCGGGUUUUCUUGGCAGCACCAGGCAGCAGUCAUUUCUGAACAAACAAGAUUGAGAUUUAUGUCUCAGUGAAGCAAUGCUGGGAGCCUGUUUGACGUGCUGCACAAAGACCAUUUCCGAUGCUCUCGGCCAGAUGAAUUUCCUCCGUGUGCUGGAGGUGGGCAGAAACGUGGUGUCCUCACAAGACGUGCCUCAGAUGCAAGCAUUGUUGCAACAUCAUUUUCUCCCCUUCAGCUUCAAGGGGACCGGGCUGCUGUGCCAGAGCUGACUGCUGUCACCACUUCACCUUUCGGGACCUUGUGCUGCGCUCCCACAUUAAAAGGAGAAAACAGAAAGCCAGUUUCAUGGAUUCUGCCUUUUAUCGUUCAUCUGAAGACAGACAACAGAAAACAUCACUGAAGUGAUUGUAAUUGGAUGAGAUGCAGAAGAAAGAGCCGCAAAUCAUGAAAAUAGACUCUUAAAACCUUGUUCUUCAUUUACUCGUAGCCUGAAGUAACUGUGGAAGUUUCUCAAGGCUUUCAUUAAAAAGUGGGCAUAGAUAACAAAUUAAUUCAGUGC